GAUGAACGCUGGCGGCGUGCCUAAUACAUGCAAGUCGAGCGAACGGACGAGAAGCUUGCUUCUCUGAUGUUAGCGGCGGACGGGUGAGUAACACGUGGAUAACCUACCUAUAAGACUUGGAUAACUUCGGGAAACCGGAGCUAAUACCGGAUAAUAUUUUGAACCGCAUGGUUCAAAAGUGAAAGUCGGUCUUGCUGUCACUUAUAGAUUGUUCCGCGCUGCAUUAGCUAGUUGGUAAGGUAACGGCUUACCAAGGCAACGAUGCAUAGCCGACCUGAGAGGGUGAUCGGACACACUGGAACAGAGACACGGUCCAGACUCCUACGGGAGGCAGCAGUAGGGAAUCUUCCGCAAUGGGCGAAAGCAUGACGGAGCAACGCCGCGUGAGUGAUGAAGGUCUUCGGAUCGGAAAACUCUGUUAUUAGGGAAGAACAAAUGUGUAAGUAACUGUGCACAGAUUGACGGUACCUAAUCAGAAAGCCACGGCUAACUACGUG
rnacentral:rRNA from 1 species